rnacentral:tRNA from 1 species
GCCUGGGUGGCUCAGUCGGUUGGGCGUCUGACUUCGGCUCAGGUCAUGAUCUCACGGUCUGUGAGUUUGAGCCCCGCGUCAGGCU